GGACACAGCUGGGGCAGCGGCAACAGUGGCAACAGCUGGAGCAGCGGCAACUACUGGAGCAGACUGGUAAACCCGGGUGACAGCUGGGGCGGCAGCGACGACUGGAGCAGCCUGAGUGUAGGUGGUGACGCGGGACAGAGCUGGGGCAGCGGCAACAGUGGCAACAGCUGGAGCAGCAGCAACAACUGGAGCAGACUGGUAAACCCGGGUGACAGAUGGGGCGGCAGCGACGACUGGAGCAGCCUGAGUGUAGGUGUCGAUGCGGGACACAGCUGGGGCAGCAGCAACAACUGGAGCCGACUGGUAAACCCUAGCGACAGCUGGGGCGGCAGCGACGACUGGAGCAACCUGAGCAUAGGUGGUCACUUGGGACACAACUGGGGCAGCG